rnacentral:rRNA from 1 species
GAUGAACGCUGGCGGCGUGCCUAAUACAUGCAAGUCGAGCGAACAGACGAGGAGCUUGCUCCUCUGACGUUAGCGGCGGACGGGUGAGUAACACGUGGAUAACCUACCUAUAAGACUGGGAUAACUUCGGGAACCGGAGCUAAUACCGGAUAAUAUAUUUAACCGCAUGGUUCAAUAGUGAAAGACGGUUUUGCUGUCACUUAUAGAUGGCUCCGCGCCGCAUUAGCUAGUUGGUAAGGUAACGGCUUACCAAGGCAACGAUGCGUAGCCGACCUGAGAGGGUGAUCGGCCACACUGGAAGGGAGACACGGUCCAGAGGCCUACGGGAGGCAGCAGUAGGGAAUCUGCCGCAAUGGGCGAAAGCCUGACGGAGCAACGCCGCGUGAGUGAUGAAGGUCUUCGGAGCGUAAAACUCUGUUAUGAGGGAAGAACAAAUGUGUAAGUAACUAUGCACGGCUUGACGGUACCUAAUCAGAAAGCCACGGCUAACUACGUG